rnacentral:rRNA from 1 species
GCUACACAUGCAGUCGAGCGGAACGAUGGUAGCUUGCUACCAGGCGUCGAGCGGCGGACGGGUGAGUAAUACUUAGGAAUCUACCUAGUAGUGGGGGAUAGCACGGGGAAACUCGUAUUAAUACCGCAUACGACCUACGGGAGAAAGGGGGCAGUUUACUGCUCUCGCUAUUAGAUGAGCCUAAGUCGGAUUAGCUAGAUGGUGGGGUAAAGGCCUACCAUGGCGACGAUCUGUAGCUGGUCUGAGAGGAUGAUCAGCCACACCGGGACUGAGACACGGCCCGGACUCCUACGGGAGGCAGCAGUGGGGAAUAUUGGACAAUGGGGGAAACCCUGAUCCAGCCAUGCCGCGUGUGUGAAGAAGGCCUUUUGGUUGUAAAGCACUUUAAGCAGUGAAGAAGACUCUUCGGUUAAUACCCGGAGACGAUGACAUUAGCUGCAGAAUAAGCACCGGCUAACUCUGUGCCAGCAGCCGCGGUAAUACAGAGGGUGCAAGCGUUAAUCGGAAUUACUGGGCGUAAAGCGAGCGUAGGUGGCUUGAUAA